rnacentral:lncRNA from 1 species
AAGAAAGUCUCCUCCUCGCAUGUGUCUCGACUGUUCCACUGAUACUUCGUCCUCCCUUCCAGCCAUCCGAAACAACCCUGUUCUGGACAUCAGUCCUUCAAACAGUUUCUCAUACCUGAUUUCUCUGCCCUGCACCUCUAGGGUUACAUUUCUCUGAAAAUGCCCAUUUCUUCUGUGUCUGAAAAUAUGGUACAGAGAGGGCCCAGUAGCAUGUCGGAAGGGGUUGGAGAGAACAGUGAGUGCCUUUUCUACCUUCUCAGAGAGUGCCCUUCUUUGCUCUGUCCACCUGAGCAUGUCCGCUGUCUUGGAUGAUGCAGUUGUUUUAGUUCCUGCCAAACUCGCGACAACUAAACCCUAAGUCUUUUGGUCCAGGCUGCAUCUGGCCCAGGUCCCCUGCUGUGCCUUGGUGUUCUUGCUGUUUUGGACUUGGUGCUGGGCCUCUCAUUAUCCCUGUUGUCUAGCUCCUAGAUCCAGCUUCUGCACCCAGUCAAGAGCCAGUGACCUCAUGCCCCUGGGAGCACAUCUGCCCUCUUCACUGUGAGGGAGCUUGGAGAGGAGUGAGGGCCCCACAGUCUAGCCCUCUUGGCCCUUGGGAGGACCAGCCACUUCCUCUCUUCCUCCCUUGAGAAGUGAGCCUCCUUCACCCCAGGCAGUACUAAGGGUGCCCUCCACCACAUGGGCUCUGUGGGCUUCGGGGGCUGCCAUCAGGCCUGGCCCCAGAGCCACACCACAGCUGUCACACCUUGCGGAGGUACCUAUAGGCCCCUGCCUUUGGGCCCAGCCACAGCCUCCUUCCCUAGCUUUGUCACCUGAUCCAGGAGCCAGGACAUGGCCAGCUUCAUUGGCAGUGAGAGGUGAAGCAAGAGGCCACAGCCAGUCAGGUGACUAAAGUUCAUGUCUGUGCCCAACCUUCAUUUGUUUCCAAAUCCAGCCACAGACAUGAGACCCUCUCUCUUGGCUUUGAGGCCUCCAUGGAAGGGUUUAUUUAUGGUUUUAACCAGGACCUUUAUAGCCCAGUCCUGAGAAGAUUAUCUUUUUAUUACAACUUUGAUUAAUGAUUGAUCAAAAAGUGAUACUAGAAACACUGAAGAACAAAUUUGCCCUAGAGAUUAGCAAAGGUCUACAUCUGCCAGGCUUGGGGACCUGACCACCUGCUCUCUCCAGGGUUAAACCAGGACAAGGGUACAUUGGAAGACCCAACCCACUUCCUCUCUCUAUCUCUCUUUCUCUGUCUCUCUCUCUCUUACACACACACACACACACACAGGAAAAAUACAGAUGUAAAUAUCCUUAAAUACUUUUGAAAUUAGAUAGGCUCUAAAUUGCAAAUGAGCAGGGACAGAGCAAAAGGACCCUAGGGGCUCUUAAUAGAAAUUUUCUUUUUUUUUUUGUUUCUAUUAAUACCUAAUACAAAUUUUAAGGGCCCAAUUCUACUGCCUCAGAGGCUGGAGAGCCAGGAAUCUGCAUAUUAACAACCUCCUCCCAAGUUUCAGCCAGUCCCCACCCUCUGUGAGCCCCAGGAAGCAGGGUACUGGCUGGAAUGCUUUUUUCUUGCCCCUCAUCCUCUGUAGUGCCCUGCGGCAUGGGGAGUGGAGAGCUGGCAGAGCAGUUUGUAAAUGGAAACUGGAAAAUGAAACUAGAAAUCACAGCCUCACAACCCAAAGAGUCGGGCUUUCUUUUCCACACAGAGAGUCCCUGAGGAAGAAAGUGGAGGAAGAGGGAAAAGCAUGUUUAGCAAAGGCAGCAAGGUGGAGCUGUUUUUUUUUUAAGCACCCUGGCAGUUGGCACACAAAUACAGGGUUGCCACAGCCGUCUUCAGGGCAGGAGGUGCCAGCAAAGAUGCACAGUGCUGCACCAGCUUCCCCCAGCCUGGCCAUCUACUGUCAGCCCUGGAGGGCUUCCUCUCCAGCAAAAGCUAAUUUCACACUUUAUGUUGAAAAACUAUUUUCAGAGAAUAAGAACUAUGUCUAGUCACUUAUGAUGGAGCAUGAUAAUGGGAGAAAAAAGCAUGUAUACAUGUAUGUGUAACUGGUUCACCAUACUGUACAGUAGGGAAAAAAAUUGUAUUGGGGAAAUAACAAAAAAUUUUUGAAAAAGAAAAAAAUUUUAAAUGUUUCUUAGAAUUGAACACUUCAUGCCAGCAUUUGGUACCAGCAGCUUCUUGCCCCACUGGGCCUCUCCCACGUGCACACGAAGAACUUUGAUGAGCAAUGGAGGUGCUUGAGUUUAGCCGAGGAUCAGAGAUCAAACGCCCGAGUCUGCCUUCCCUGCUGGUCUCCCACAGCACUCAAACCUGAGUUUGUGCUCACCCAGGCGCAAACACAGAAAAGCAGCUGGCCGCAAAGGCACUGCUUGAGGCAGUUUUGAGGCUACCACAGAGCAGCUUUCAUGGAAGCAGAUUUCCUGAAGGGCCUGGAAUGCGGGGGAGAGAAGGGCUGUGGGAUAGGGGCCAAGACUGUCCCUACCUGCAACUCUGCACCUUCCUGGCUGCCCCACCCCCAAUGCCACACAGGCCUUUGAUUAAGACCUCGAAGGUGGGUGCAUCCUCUCAUAGGACACCGGGUUUUCCAGCUAUUUGUGUAGUUAUUUGCCUCCCAUCUUUGUCCCUUCCUGGAACAAAACUCUUCAGGUCCGUAUUAUUCACUGCUAUAUCCUUGAUUCUUUGAAUAGUGCCUGACACUUGAUAGGGGCAUGAAAAAGUAUAUGUUCCAUGAGUGAGGCAGCCUGAAAGUGAAGGAGGCAGUGGACAGGUAGAUGCCCCAGUGCUGCUAUCCCCAGACUCCUGCCUGUGAAAUGCUUUAACUGUCCCAGUGUGUAUAGGUGAGGGCUUAGAGGGAGAGGAGGGGGUGUGGGGUGCUUCUGUGGCUCAUCCUCCAUGGCCCUAGUUCUGUCCCCCUUACCUGACAGAUGGGCUCACAUAGCCUUUCCCAACAGGCCGAGACACUUGGCUUCUUGGGCUACCCAGAAAAGAAAGGCCACCUUUAGCCCCUGGGUCAAAAGGAAACAAGCCAGGGUUGGGGGAGGUUGUCAUAGUGAUAAAAAGGUGCAGCAAGGUAAGGAUCUGGCAUUGUCACAGCUAUGGCUCUGGUCACCACGGUGGUGUGGGUGUGACCUCUGGUGCAGCCAGAGCCAGAAAAAAAAAGGCGGGGGGAACAUAAGAAGGAUGCCAGUGGAUGGUCUUCCGGGAGGAGAUGGGAACAUGGGGAGCAGCCUUAACAUCAGGCCCCACACCUUUUAUUCUUCUCAGCCUCACUUUCUCAUCCAUUAAUGGGAUUUGUUCUUGUGUAUGUGCCUGGAAGAGAAGUAUAACAGAAGAUAAAAGGGUGGAAUUUUAAAUAUUCCAGAGUAAAAUUUCAGCUCUGCAUUUAUGGGCUAUGUGACCUUGAGCCAAUUACUGAGUCUCUCUUGCCUCAUUUUUCUUUUCUGUCAGGUGGGAACAGUGAUAGUGGAUUCUAUGAGUUAAUUCCUGUUCCUGACACCUGCCAAGGGCUCAGUUGUCAUUAGCUAUUACCUUAGCAGGGCUUGUGAGGGUCCAACGAGAUGGCAAAUGUCAGCACAGUUCCCAGACCCGAAGGCACUGUACAAAUAUGAAGAAACAGUAUUAUUUUGGAAAUAUUGAAGGCACAGCUUCCCUCCCCCAUUUGUCUGGGGUGGGGCAGCAGUUUUACUUAUUUAAUGUUAGCUUGAAGGUGUACCAAAGGAAGGUGAAAAACUGAAACCGCCAACCGUUUGAGCUGUAGGCUGCAUUGAAACAGUGUGGCCGGUGCAGAUGGUGAGGGCCUGGGCAGGCCCACUUCCUCCCUGCGUGCUACGGGUCUUCCUCAUACCAGCCGCUUCCCAAGGCUGCAGGAAGUGGGGCCAGGAACACUUCAGGGUGUGUGCAGGCAGGCUUGGGCUGAAGGUCGGCAGCUGCUAGGGUGAGAGCAGAAGCCUUCCAGGUCCUUGGUGUGUUCUGGGUGUAGCUUCUGCCCUCUCCCUGCCCUGGCCUGCCCAGGAUGGGUUCGUAGCAAACUCCCCACCGAGGCUCUUCUCUCUUGAGGUUGCAAGCCACUGCAGAGAGGGUGUCCAGCCCAAGUGGGGCAGGCUUGAGAGGAGAGUCGAUUCUUUUCUCAAAGGAAAUGCAGUUGUGGUUUUGAGACGUUCACUUCACAUCUGUGGUUGGCGUUUCCCAGGGUUCUCAGAGGUGAAUGCAGGGUCAGCCCAAUAUAGCCAAAUAAGGUUCACCAGUGACCUUAGCAACAGCCUUCGCUGCCCAUUGGCUGACACUGCUGCUGCCAGCCAAUGCGGCCUCCUGCAGGCUAGCGCUGAAGCUGGGCUAAAGCUUCCACAUGUGCAGGGAUCCAGCUGCUGCCUGUCAGAAAUCACUGCCCUUUGAAGCAGCACAGAUAGGGAGAGAGCUUUGAGCAAAGGUGUCAAGGCGACAGGACUGCCUGGGUGCCCACGUUUCGGAGUCCACCUAGCCAGCCCUCCACUGACUGAGUCUUCACACAGCACCAGUCUGCUCCCUCGGCUGAUGGCCUUGUCUCAGCUUGCCGAGAUGAGAUGUCCCCUCCCAUGCCCAUCCUGUCCUGGCGACCUUGGAACUCCAUAGUUCCCAUUCCUCCUUCCUGCUCUUUCCUCCUUUGUUUCAAGCCCUCUGCUAAGCUCCCUCUACACAUCCUCUCUUUUAACUCUCUUAGUAAACCUGUGAGUGAAUUAGCCCCAUUUUACAGAUAAGGAAACUGAGUCUAAAGAAGUCAGGUAACUGGCCCUAUGUUGCACCAGUAUGUAGGGAAGCUGCAAUUGGAACCCAGUUUUACAGGUUCAGCCCCCACACUGUUAACUGUUGUACUACAUUGGCAGUCGGCCAAUGUCUCUGUGCCUCAGUACCUUCACCUGUGACCUGGGAUGAUAAUACCUACUUCAGAGGCUUGGGAUGAGGAGGGUAUGGAGUGACUGAUGUGCAGGAAUCCAGUGCAAAGUGGUGGCUUGUCCGGUGGCACAACUUGGCACCUGUAGGCUUUGGUGCCUCCUAGGCAUGCAUGCUCUGUGGGCAGCCUGCACAUUCCUCUCCCACAGAGUGUACUGCUGAAAUCUUGAGGUUUGUGGACAAGACUUCUCUGGGCCUUCCUAGGUGGUUUCCACUUCCUCAUUCCUAGCCUCCUCCCACCCUCACUUAGCUGCAUCACUGAAGUAGAGAGGCUGGAGAAGAGCGUGCUACUGGGAGGCCCCAGCCUCUGGGCACAGAGGGGACGGGAUGGGCAGGCUGGAGGGGACGAGUUCAGAGGACUAAAGGUGGGCCAGUUAAACUGCAAGUGCAGGCAUCCCUCAUUUCCUCUGUCCCUCUAGCGAGUAUCCGUAUCCCGGAUAAUGUUCAGUUGUUAGAGCACUGCUUCCCUGAGGAACAUUUUCAGAAUGGAAAAGGACAUAGGAGUUCCUGUCGUGGCUCACUGUUUAACGAAUCCAACUAAGAACCAUGAGGUUGCAGGUUCGAUCCCUGGCCUUGCUCAGUGGGUUAAGGAUCCAGCAUUACCGUGAGCUGUGGUGUAGGUCACAGACGUGGCUCGGAUCCCAUGUUGCUGUGGCUCUGGCGUAGGCUUGGCAGCUACAGCUCUGAUUAGACCCCUGGCCUGGGAACCUCCAUGUGCCGCAGGUGCGGCCCUAG